UACAACAGCAGCAGGAGGAGCGGCGGCGGCGGCGGCGGCAGUGGAGGGUGCGAAACAUGGUUCUCUACGGGAAUAAAUAACGGGACCGGGGGAGGAUAUUAUUUAAACCAAAGGGGAGGCCACGGUGGAAAAGAGGAAGCGGAUAUUUCAAGAGAGAAGAAACAGCUAAAGUCAGUGCCGCACGUUUCAGUGUUGAUGUUGGUGUUUUGGCCACGAAUACCUGCCGAAAACAGUCCCGACGUCCUUUAUUGAGGCUCCUCUGUCCUGUGUGACCCCCCUGACGCAGAGAGGAUGGUGAUGGAGGAGGGGGGUCAAAGAGACAGAGGGAGGAGAGAUCCGGUGACAGCAGGAGCAGAAGGAAGGCAGAUCUUCGUGGAGCUUGGGGAGCAGAACUUUGAUGCCAUUUGUCUUUCUACAUAUCGAACAGCCUGCAAGCUCAGAUUUAUACAGAAAAGAUGCAACUUGCAUCUGAUCGACAUAUACAACGUAAUCGAGGCGGUGCGGGACGCCGGGCUGAACGCCGUCGAGCUGAACGCCAUCAUCUCUGUGACCAGACUGGAAAACCUGGUGUCCUCCCUGUUCAACCAGCUCAGCAAGCGCCUGCCCACCACACACACCAUCAACCCCCAAGAGAGCACUGUCCUGUUAGUUGAAUUCAUAUUGGCUGCCAUUGAGAGUGAACCAGACAGCCGGCUGACGGUGCUGUCUGUGAAGGCGAUGCUGGCCAUGCUGUGUGGAGGGAAACUGGUAGAUAAACUCCGCUAUGUGUUUUCUCAGGUAUCUGACUCCAACGGUGUGUUGGUGCUGUCCAAGUUUGACAGUUUUCUGAGGGAGGCCCUCAAGUUGCCCACCACCGUACAUGAAGGACCGUCCUUCGGCUACACACACACGUUAGCGCGCUCAUGCUUCCCACAACAGAAGAGAGUGAUGCUCAACAUGUUCCUGGACAUCACAGCCAACCCUCCUCAGUGUCUCGUCUGGUUGCCUCUCAUACAUCGUCUGGCCAAUGUGGAGCAUGUCUAUCACCCCGUGUCAUGCUCCUACUGUCGUGGCAACGGCAUGACGGGCUUCCGCUAUCGCUGCCUCCGUUGCCGUGGUUACCAGCUGUGUCAGAACUGCUUCUGGCGCGGCAACACCAGCGGCUCACACAGCAGCCAGCAUCAGAUGAAGGAGCACUCGUCCUGGAAGUCGCCGGCGACGAAGCUUGGCCGAGCCCUGAGCAGGACUCUGGGCUGCGUGUCGUCCAGGGAGCCCCCCCACCCAAUGUAUCCAGAGGAGCCUGAGAGGACGCUUAACCUCGCCAACAUAGUCCCCACUCGACCUAUUGGGAACACCAGUGAGGCCAUGUUGCUGUCCUCACCAGCACCUGAGUCCUCCAAGAGUUUGGCAGCGGCUCAGCGUAUGAACGAGGAACACGCUCUGAUCGCUGCGUAUGUGAAUCGCCUCCAGAGCAGCCCACGCGUGGACAGUCCCAGUCGGCAGGACGAGGAGCACAAACUGAUCGCCCGCUACACCUCCCGACUGGCAGAGACCGACAGCACAGGAGUGAUACCUAACCGGAGCAUCAACUUUGAUGUGAACAAACAGAAGAGGGAGCUAAUCGCUCAGCUCGAGUGCAAGAACAGAGAGAUCUUGGCAGAGAUCAAACGUCUCCGUACAGAGCAUGACGCAGCCUGCCAGCCCAGCCCGGAGAAGGGCAGCACCAACCCAACUCUGCUGGCUGAGCUUCGCCUGCUCAGACAGAGGAAAGAUGAGCUGGAGCAGAGGAUGUCGUCGCUGCAAGAGAGCAGGAGGGAACUGAUGGUACAGCUGGAGGGACUGAUGAAGCUGCUCAAGGAUGAGGAACAGCGACAGGCAGCGCAGGCAGCUGGCUCUUCUCACGCCUCUCCUUCCCGACCAAGUCCAUCAACCAUGCGCUCUGUAGGUACCGUGUCUCCCCAGGCUCACAUGUACCCUCCUCAAGACUCCCUUGCAGGGGUGGGUGGCGACGUACAAGAGGCCUUUGCUCAAGGUCCAAGAAGGAACCUGAGGAACGACCUCCUGGUAGCAGCCGACUCCAUCACCAACACUGUGUCCUCGCUGGUCAAAGAGCUCCACUCUGAUGAUGGUCGGGAGGAGGAGGAGAGAUUGCUGAACGGGAAGGACAGAGGGUUUUUCUGAAAAUGUUCACAUAAAAGGUGGUAAGACCUGACCCCUGAACAGCCAGACAGACAGGAGGCCAGGGUUCAGCCUGCAUGUCCAACACAGGUUGAAAUGAUCGGAGGAGAAACAAAAUCAGCAGAGUGAUGCUUCAUCACGGCCAAAGAAGACCGACCCUGCAGGGACUGAAGUGUAUCUACUUAUAUUCAUUGUUAGCCAAUGGGGAUUAGAGCUCCACUGCCAAUCAACCAAUCACGAUGCUGGACACCAAAUGACCGCCCUGCCCCAGGGGCCCUACUGAUGUAUAGCUGUGAUUCUGUGUGUGUGUGUCUUGCCACUGUGGUUUUACUUUUGUUUUGAUUUGAUCGCGCAUAGCUGAACGAGGAAUCUGAAACCUACUGAUUUGUGUUGUAGCGUGUGUGCGUGUGCGCGCUCUGCGUUUGCGAAGUGCGAAGGGGUCGAGCAAGUGAGAGAGACUCUGCGAGGAGACAGGAAGGUGUGUUUAGGAAAUUUGUGAAGGUUCGAAAAAAAGCAGGAAAGUUUCAGGAUCAGGAUGGAGAUACAGUAUGUAACCGUGUUUGAGGGAAGAAGUGGAGGAAGAACAGAGGAAAGUCGAAAAGACGAGAGGGGAGAUGUUGCGUUUUUAAGUUUCGGCACUGUGUGCUUACUAUUUAUUGCUUUGAUUUGAGUUUUGGCAUUUAUUCAUUCGGUUUGAGUGUUUCUGUGUACAUGAGUGUGGUCAGGCCCUGCUGAGACGAUAAGCUUUAAUGGGAUGUUUCCUGCUGCAUCCACCCCAGCCAGGCACCCUGUCUGGCUGGGGCGAGGCAGAGCGAACAGUUGAAGUCUUGGUCCUGGUCCAGGUGUCUGAAACCUGGAUGAGAUUAGUGCCAUGGGUGCUGGUGUGAUAGCAGCUCAGGUUGUCCAUGCCUCUCUGUGGAUUCCCGGUACUGCAGUGGGACUACAGUUAAAGAGGAGGUAUCUGAUUACUCUGUGUGUGUGUGUGUGUGUGUGUGUGUGUGUGUGUGUGUGUGUGUGUGUGUGUGUGUGAGUGAAUAUAAAACCAUUUGCUUCAACAGGGUCGGUGUAGCAGUAGAGUAGCAAAGUGGGUGGAGUGGGUAAAUUUUAUCCCCAUUUUAAAAGUUUUCUUUUAAAGGGUCAGUUCACACAAGAUUACACUUCUUUUUUUCUGGUUUAGUGUUUUCCAAACAGGGCGUACCAGGAUAAAUCGUGCGAUUACUGAAGGAAAGUUUUUUUUUUUUCUGAUUUAUCUACACAAUCAGGUCCACAUUUGUUUACACUCACAUUUUCAUUAAUUUAUGUCUUUGUGUCAGUUCUGUUUAAGGCCAUAACCUGUGAUUCAGGGACUCAUUUGCUUCGUUUUGAAGCGUUAUACAGAUUAGGAACCGCUGUGCUACUGUUAUCAAACCGUCCAGAUAGUCUAGGGUUUAUUUGUAAGAGGUUACAGAUGUUUGUCUCUUAAGAUUUUUGCCUCAACUGUAACACCUCCUCCUAACAAACAGCUAGCGAGCGUCAGAGUAACAGAGGUAUCUUAUAACCUAGCUAGCAUCCAGCUACUAGAAAUAGGUCCAGGUCGCUCAGCCUGUUUACUGACACAUUGAAGAAUUGCGUCCAGUUAGGAAUCAAAAGCGUGAAGAACAUUUCUUCACAGAAACAAUGUCCAUGUUACUCUGGAUAAUCCACAAAACACACAGAACAGUUUCCCCUGACUUUUUACUGAACAAACAGUUCCUAAGAAAACUGUUCUGAAUGUGUGUUGUGUAAUUUGUGUGAACUGAUCCUUUGAUUUUGUGUUUCCCCAAGAGCUACAUGGGAGUCUCCUGGGUAAUUUAAUCGUAUUACAGCAUUAUGUUAGUACCAUCGGAUGUACGGAUUUUAAUAUUGUUUCUGAAAAAUCACAUUUUCAGUCGUUAAUGAAGAAUAAUAAGAAAUAAGGACUUGAAAAACCACAAUACCCAUGAGCCUCAGUGGCCCAGAAAGUAGUCAGAGACAAAUCAGAGCUGCAGCAAAGUCAAAAAGCUUCACUUUCUUUAACCAGGAACAAAUCUCAGUGCUGUAGUUGAAAACUUUUUUUCCAAAGAUUUUUUUUUCAUCGCAGUUGCUCUUAUUUCGAACUGACGAUUCAACCAGCAGUUUUCUGUCCGUUCACAUCACCUAUGCAAAAAAAAAAAAACAAAAGAAAAAACUGAAUGUGACUUUUGCUUUCUAAACACAAAUGAUCUUCUCACACUUUGCUUCUCUGUGCUGCCUUUUAAGCUUCCCGUAAAAUCCAUUUGAUUGUGGAAGUUGAGGUUUUCUGUGGAUGUCGGAUUACACCCAGCACCGUUAAAAUCUUCAGGCCGAGAUCUUUAUGCAAAUCUAACAUGACCCAAAGUGACUCACUGAGCUUGUGUCAGGUCGGGUUGGUUUUAUUUUUCAGCAGCUGUGAGAUAUUUUUUUUGUUUGUUUUUUUUUUUAUCAUCAACAUGUUUUCAACACUUUUUUAGCUUUUCAGGUUUUGGUUUGUGCUUAUAGGAAGCUGUACUUUGCUGUAAUGUACAGUUCUGGAUGAGUUUUCAGUUGGAGAGUUGGUUUGUUUUUGUUUUUUUUUUUCUCUCUUUCACCAGCCCUCCAAUUUUUUGACUGACUGCCUGUGGCUGGAAUGAUCACAUUUUCAGUCCGCUGGAUGAUUGACUGACUGUACGGAUGAUUUGAUAAAUGAAUGAGCUCGUGUUUCAGCGUGUAUGUGUGAAAGACAGAGCGAGAGAGUGAGAGAUAUCAAGACUGACAGGACAGACGCGUCCUGACAUGAAACUGUAAACACAUUCAGCUCUGAACGUGCUGGAGCUGACGGUGUGAGUGAAAAGUGUGGAUCAUCUGCAAUAAAUAAUAUUUAACGUCAAA